UAUCAGGGGCCGGGGUGAGUAAUCCGCUCGGGUUUGCUUUCAGGAGCUUUUGUUCCCUGAGCGCUUUCCGUAGAGUUCCGGAGGACGGGGAAUACAAAUGGCGGCCUCCUGGUCUCCAGCCCAGAGUAGCCGAGAGCCCAGGGCCCCACUCCUCAGUGCGCCCUCAGAGAACAACGCCAGUUACUCCCGUCUGCCUGACCUCCAGCCGUGCUCCCAACUCACCGAGCCUGCGACCGGUUCAAGAGAAUGCCAACUAUUGUGACCAUCUUCCUUGAAACAAGACAGAUUCAUCCCAUUGGUAUUACUCAAGAACAUGUUAUGUGUUGAUAGUGUUGAUAGAAGUUACCUGUAUUCUAAGGUUUCAGAUAGAACCAAGAAAUUCUAAGAAACAAACAUACAUUACAGAUAAAACCUUCAAUAUUGCCAUGUCCCCCAAACUAGACCAUCAAAUGUCUAGAUCAGAGAUAACAAACUACAAGAGCCAGGCCUACAAGAGCCAGGCAGAUGAUGAUGUCAGGCAAAAGACUAGUAAACUACUCACUUGCUUUCUCCAAAGAGGGCCAUGGAAACUGACCCCUAGAUGAGUGCUGACAAAUGAGAGUGUGGACCCACUGCUGACAGGUUUCAUUUCAUAAGAAGAAUGGGAAACCACAGGACAUACGGUGAUUUUUAUUAUUAAAUAUUGUAAAUGACACUUCUGUGGCCUGAAAGGCUUACAUGAUCUGUUAGCUGGUGAACUCUAAAAGACAGAAAGAUGACUCCUUUUCAUCACUUCUUCUAAGUUCAUAUGUCCCUAAUUCUCAGAAUAUUCAUACAGAAUCUCUUGCCAGUGGUGGUUCUCAGUGUGGCAGAACCAUUCACUCCCCUUAUCUGUGGGACUUGCCUUCUUGCCAUCCUAAAUCACUCUGACUUCCAUCUGCCUCCUGGAAAGGAAAUUCAACUUUCUGUUUCACAUGAUCUUAAUUUUUGUCAAAAAAAAAAAAAUCUCUAAUAAAGUCAAGGCUGCAAAGAUGGCAGAGUAGUGCUCUGAGCUUACACUCUCCCAAGUUUACAACUAGAUAUCAUUCAGACCCAAGUCCAUAAACUAGAGAGUGAUCUGAAGACUGGCAGGACAAACUCCACAAAUGAAUAUAGAGAAGAAGUUGAAUCUGAAAGGCUAGGAAGGUCAAAAAGAUAGAGGGAAACUGUUGGCAGGUGGGAAAGAGCUGCGUGCAUGGAGAGAGCAGAGAAAUGGUUCCUCACACCAGGGAGUUCACACGGGAAGACUAUUCCUCAUAACAUUUGGCUUUUAAAGACCAGAGAAGCUGAAUUCUUAGAGUUUGUAUAAGUAGUUGGACCUGGAGCCUGGAGCUUUAAAAGUCAGCUGACUCAGCACUGGGCAAGCUGUGAGAGCCAGUGAUAGCUGGGGUGGGGGGAAGGGGGGCCCUUAUAAAGACAGCAGCUGCAUGGAGAGACAACAUAAAAAAAUCACAGUUUACACAUGCUGGGGCAAACAGGAGACAGAUCAGUUCAUACUGACUUUGGAGCAUGUUGGGGAACUUCUCCACAAAUGAGGCUACUGGCAGGUACCAUUCCUGCACUCCUCAACCCCCCUCCCCAAUCUCACACCCCCUCUUCCCCCAUCUCCCACCUGCCCCUCUCCCCAACAUAAACCUAAGGUCUUCUGCGGGAGGUGGGGCUGCACUGAGACUUGCUACCUAACCUGCCAGGUCUGUGUCAGACCUGCAGGUUCUCCUGAGGACUGGACCACUCCAAGCCCACUCACCUCAGCCCAGCGCUUAGGGCAAAUUUUGUUAAAACUGCUCUCAUGUACCCUCCUGGGCCACCAAGUGCAUAGCCAAGCCCAGCCUCAACCCCCUGCCCACCCCCCCAACACACAUCACCCAACCUGUGUCAGACUUUGGGGGAUCUGGCAAAGGACUAGUGGCUCAAUGCAAACUUUGCUUACACCGCAGCCUUGCUCCAAAGUUCCCCAGGGCCUGCCUGGGUCCCACUAACUCCACAGAGAGCAAGCACAGCCCACAACAGGCACAAUCAGUGUGGACUGAGGUAGGAAAGACAUUGAGGGUCAGAGCUGAUGGCCAAGAAAGAACUCUUGAGAUGUCUUUGGUGCAAAAAGGUGGUUUUAUUAAAUGAAACAAGAUGGGAUUGGGAGGGAGAUAAACCAUAAGUGACUCUUAAUCUCACAAAACAAACUGAGGGUUGCUGGGGGGAGGGGGUUUGGGAGAAGGGGGUGGGAUUAUGGACAUUGGGGAGGGUAUGUGCUUUGGUGAGUGCUGUGAAGUGUGUAAACCUGGUGAUUCACAGACCUGUACCCCUGGGGAUAAAAAUAUAUGUUUAUAAAAAAUAAAAAAUUAAUCAAAAAAAAUAAUUUAAAAAAAAAGCACAGGGACAGGACCUGUGGGCAGAAAAGGUUGCACUGGGGUCAUGAGGAGUGGCCCAUUAUAUAUUUUCAACUUGGGAGGGGGUUAGGGACAGUGUAAGUCUCUAAGAAAUUCUGGAAGCAAAGUUUCCAGAACCUUGCGAUGGCUAGCUAUUGUUGGGAAAAUGUUGUUUAUUACCAUCUAAUAAAACCUUAGUCAUGAGACCCUUAAGAUGUGUAAUGGUUAGCCCAUAUGCUUGGGGGAAUGCCAAAACAUAUCUUGGGGGGUUUAGAGAUAAAGGAAGUUUCCAAAACAAUUUUUAUAUGUUAAAGUAGGCUUACAUGAUCCUGGUGGUGGUGGUGGGGCGCGGGGGGAGGGUACAGAUUGCCUUUUGCCCUUAGCAAAGUGUCAACAUCAAGGCAGUUGAGUCCCUAGAGGACUGUCAAUCUGCCUGUUUCAAGGACUUGUCAAUGAACUGUAGGUAGUAAGGGAAUUUAAUAAUUUCUCUUCUGCCUUUAUUUCCCACAUCGUGGACGACUGCCCUGAAAGGAAAGUGACUCAGAGGUGACAGCAGUGCACAAGUAACACACAUAUGAUCCUCUCCUUGAAGUGUGACAAAGGACAUUUUCAAGUUCUAAUAUUUGUGAACCCUACUCCUGGGCUCCCAGGGAAGAUACACUUUUAUCAAGAUGACACUUCAAAGCACAAAAGUCCUUUCUGUCCUGAGCACAUGUUGUACAUCUGUUUCAUUAGCACAUAACCUAAAAGAAAUAUUUCAGACUCAAGAUAGGAGUAAAAAUCCCCUGGAGUUCUGUUCCCAUACUCCCAAACCUGCAAACUUGCACAUACUAAAAACAUAAGAUAAAGUCUGUAAUUUUCUGAAAUGUCCUUCCUGUGAUGACUUGUAACUCUUGAUGUAAUAAAAGCACAUAUGAUCCUGUAUUAAACAUUCCUUCUCCAGAGCACUCCCUUCUUUAUGAAGAUUGUAUAUCCUGGGCUGCUGUGCUCACUUGGGCUUGAAUAAAACUCUUGUCUUUUUUUGUAGAAA